rnacentral:rRNA from 1 species
CGAGGGGCAGCACAGGUAGCAAUACUGGGUGGCGACCGGCGCACGGGUGCGUAACGCGUAUGCAACCUACCUUUAACUGGGGCAUAGCCCGGAGAAAUCCGGAUUAAUAUCCCAUAAUAUUCAUUUUGGACAUCCUUUAUGAAUUAAAGCUUUUGCGGUUAAAGAUGGGCAUGCGUGGCAUUAGCUAGUUGGUGAGGUAACGGCUCACCAAGGCGACGAUGCCUAGGGGUUCUGAGAGGAUUAUCCCCCACACUGGUACUGAGACACGGACCAGACUCCUACGGGAGGCAGCAGUGAGGAAUAUUGGUCAAUGGACGAAAGUCUGAACCAGCCAUGCCGCGUGCAGGAUGAAGGCCCUAUGGGUUGUAAACUGCUUUUGUUUGGGAAGAAACUUCCGUACGUGUACGGGACUGACGGUACCAGGCGAAUAAGCAUCGGCUAACUCCGUGCCAGCAGCCGCGGUAAUACGGAGGAUGCAAGCGUUAUCCGGAUUUAUUGGGUUUAAAGGGUGCGUAGGCGGAAUAAUAAGUCAGUGGUGAAAUACCCCGGGCUCAACCGGGGAACUGCCAUUGAUACUGUUAAUCUAGAGUA